GUACACAAAGGGAAUGAAGUUCUCCCUGUUCUGAUUAAGACAAACCGCAUAUGCUGAUGACUUCUAUACUUUU
rnacentral:ncRNA from 1 species